rnacentral:rRNA from 1 species
AUUUCUUCGGAAUGAAGUUUUAGUGACUGAGUGGCGGACGGGUGAGUAACGCGUGGGUGACCUGCCCCAUACCGGGGGAUAACAGCUGGAAACGGCUGCUAAUACCGCAUAAGCGCACAGAGCUGCAUGGCUCGGUGUGAAAAACUCCGGUGGUAUGAGAUGGACCCGCGUCUGAUUAGCCAGUUGGCAGGGUAACGGCCUACCAAAGCGACGAUCAGUAGCCGACCUGAGAGGGUGACCGGCCACAUUGGGACUGAGACACGGCCCAAACUCC